rnacentral:rRNA from 1 species
UACGUAGGGUGCAAGCGUUGUCCGGAAUUAUUGGGCGUAAAGAGCUCGUAGGCGGUCUGUCGCGUCUGCUGUGAAAACUCAGGGCUUAACCCUGAGCUUGCAGUGGGUACGGGCAGACUAGAGUGCGGUAGGGGAGACUGGAAUUCCUGGUGUAGCGGUGAAAUGCGCAGAUAUCAGGAAGGAACACCCGGUGGCGAAGGCGGGCUCUGGGCCGUA